rnacentral:rRNA from 1 species
GAGUGGCGGACGGGUGAGUAACACGUGGGUAACCUGCCCAGAAGCAGGGGAUAACACCUGGAAACAGAUGCUAAUACCGUAUAACAGAGAAAACCGCCUGGUUUUCUUUUAAAAGAUGGCUCUGCUAUCACUUCUGGAUGGACCCGCGGCGCAUUAGCUAGUUGGUGAGGUAACGGCUCACCAAGGCGAUGAUGCGUAGCCGACCUGAGAGGGUAAUCGGCCACAUUGGGACUGAGACACGGCCCAGACUCCUACGGGAGGCAGCAGUAGGGAAUCUUCCACAAUGGACGCAAGUCUGAUGGAGCAACGCCGCGUGAGUGAAGAAGGGUUUCGGCUCGUAAAGCUCUGUUGUUAAAGAAGAACGUGGGUGAGAGUAACUGUUCACCCAGUGACGGUAUUUAACCAGAAAGCCACGGCUAACUACGUGCCAGCAGCCGCGGUAAUACGUAGGUGGCAAGCGUUAUCCGGAUUUAUUGGGCGUAAAGCGAGCGCAGGCGGUCUUUUAAGUCUAAUGUGAAAGCCUUCGGCUCAACCGAAGAAGUGCAUUGGAAACUGGGAGACUUGAGUGCAGAAGAGGACAGUGGAACUCCAUGUGUAGCGGUGAAAUGCGUAGAUAUAUGGAAGAACACCAGUGGCGAAGGCGGCUGUCUGGUCUGUAACUGACGCUGAGGCUCGAAAGCAUGGGUAGCGAACAGGAUUAGAUACCCUGGUAGUCCAUGCCGUAAACGAUGAUUACUAAGUGUUGGAGGGUUUCCGCCCUUCAGUGCUGCAGCUAACGCAUUAAGUAAUCCGCCUGGGGAGUACGACCGCAAGGUUGAAACUCAAAAGAAUUGACGGGGGCCCGCACAAGCGGUGGAGCAUGUGGUUUAAUUCGAAGCUACGCGAAGAACCUUACCAGGUCUUGACAUCUUCUGCCAACCUAAGAGAUUAGGCGUUCCCUUCGGGGACAGAAUGACAGGUGGUGCAUGGUUGUCGUCAGCUCGUGUCGUGAGAUGUUGGGUUAAGUCCCGCAACGAGCGCAACCCUUAUUACUAGUUGCCAGCAUUCAGUUGGGCACUCUAGUGAGACUGCCGGUGACAAACCGGAGGAAGGUGGGGACGACGUCAAAUCAUCAUGCCCCUUAUGACCUGGGCUACACACGUGCUACAAUGGAUGGUACAACGAGUCGCGAAACCGCGAGGUUUAGCUAAUCUCUUAAAACCAUUCUCAGUUCGGACUGUAGGCUGCAACUCGCCUACACGAAGUCGGAAUCGCUAGUAAUCGCGGAUCAGCAUGCCGCGGUGAAUACGUUCCCGGGCCUUGUACACACCGCCCGUCACACCAUGAGAGUUUGUAACACCCAAAGCCGGUGGGGUAACCUUUUAGGAGCUAGCCGUCUAAGGUGGGACAGAUGAUUAGGGUGAAG